rnacentral:lncRNA from 1 species
GAAACACACAAUCGGGUCAUCAAACAUUAAUUAGUUUCUUGCUAGUAAAAGAAAAAGAAAAAAACAAAUCUUUAUAAUAAAUAUCAUUUUGGCAUAUAGCGAAAACAAUUAUUGAUAGAUAGGUCUCUCGUGUGAUUCCAAACGUGCCAAGAUAUGAAAAACACAUCUAACGGUCAGGGAUUUUAGGAUACUAAUUAUAUCUUCCCACGUGUGAAAUGUGAAAUCACAUGUCAUUUUGUUUCUCUGUGUCGUCGUCAUUUUACGAAUCACGACAAAUCCUUUUUUUUUUUUUGGCCAAGAACAACUCUUUUCCAUUUAAAUUAAAGAUUUCGAUAUACGGAUAACUUUAGAGAGACCGACAGUUUUUUUUAAGUUUUUUUUUAAAGAAAAUGAAAGUAUUUUCUCAUCUCCGAUAGUAAUAAAUUUACGACAACUAAAAUUUCGUGAGAAUUGAUGAUUUUUAGGUUAUGGUUGAUCUAUAAGAUGGAGAAACUAAUUGCAUUUUCAUCCUAUUUCUUC